rnacentral:misc_RNA from 1 species
UGUGGGAGCGGGCUUGCUCGCGAUCGAGGCGAUGCGGUGUAACAGAAACACCGAGUCGCUUGCAUCGCGUGCAAGCCCGCUCCCACA